AACCUCGUAGUUCGUGGUAUCAAUACCAAGGUGAGUGCAUUGCUUUUAACAAAAAUUUAAGUCUUACAAAGGAACAAGGGCCUAAAAAUGGUUUGGAUGAGUAUUAGUUCUUUUUGUUUUUUUUUUGAAAUUUUAAGUCAUGUAUAGUUAAGUUCAUUUACAAGUUUGGUUAAGAAGAAAUUUGAAAAUGCAAUGGCAUAAUGCCAAGGUUUCUAAUUUGUAAUAUGGUCGAAGUUUAGAAAACAGAUACAAUCAAAGAAGAUUUCUAAAAGGAGGGAGAGAUUUUGAAAUUAAAUAAGUGGGGAGGAGACGAGGAGACUAAUCCUAAGCACAAAUUUAAAAGUUAAGAGUUGAAAAGAUCUAACCAAUGAGCU
rnacentral:lncRNA from 1 species